UACGUAGGGGGCAAGCGUUGUCCGGAUUUAUUGGGCGUAAAGAGCGUGUAGGCGGCCUGACAGGUCUGCUGUGAAAACUCGAGGCUCAACCUCGAGAUGUCGGCGGAAACCGUCUGGCUAGAGUCCGGAAGAGGAGAGUGGAAUUCCUGGUGUAGCGGUGAAAUGCGCAGAUAUCAGGAAGAACACCGAUGGCGAAGGCAGCUCUCUGGGACGGUACUGACGCUGAGACGCGAAAGCGUGGGGAGCGAACAGG
rnacentral:rRNA from 1 species